rnacentral:rRNA from 1 species
GACGAACCGUGCGAACGUUGUUCGGAAUCACUGGGCUUAAAGGGCGCGUAGGCGGGCCUCCAAGUCCGGGGUGAAAUCCUGCGGCUCAACCGCAGACGGUCGUGGGAAACUGGAAGGCUAGAGUGCGGGAGAGGAGAGUGGAAUUCCCGGUGUAGCGGUGAAAUGCGCAGAUAUCGGGAAGAACACCCGUGGCGAAGGCGGCUCUCUGGAACGCAACUGACGCUGAGACGCGAAAGCGUGGGGAGCAAACAGG